CUCACUACUGCACCUGACCAUUCUCUGCUGGCUGGUGCAACCCAGUGGUGAGCUGAGAGUAAACCCCAGCUUAGGAAACAGGGUUGUGGAUGAUUCUGUGCUGAAAGUGUGGGGACAGUC